rnacentral:rRNA from 1 species
CGCUGGCGGCAUGCCUAACACAUGCAAGUCGAACGGAGAAAAGGAAGCUUGCUUCUUUUCUUAGUGGCGGACGGGUGAGUAACGCGUGGGUAACCUGCCUUACACAGGGGGAUAACAGUUAGAAAUGACUGCUAAUACCGCAUAACCCGCUAGUACCGCAUGGUACAGACGGAAAAGAUUUAUCGGUGUAAGAUGGACCCGCGUCUGAUUAGCUGGUUGGUGGGGUAACGGCCUACCAAGGCAACGAUCAGUAGCCGGCCUGAGAGGGUGACCGGCCACAUUGGGACUGAGACACGGCCCAAACUCCUACGGGAGGCAGCAGUGGGGAAUAUUGCACAAUGGGGGAAACCCUGAUGCAGCGACGCCGCGUGAGUGAAGAAGUAUUUCGGUAUGUAAAGCUCUAUCAGCAGGGAAGAAAAUGACGGUACCUGACUAAGAAGCCCCGGCUAACUACGUG